UGGGGAAUAUUGGACAAUGGGCGAAAGCCUGAUCCAGCCAUGCCGCGUGAGUGAUGAAGGCCCUAGGGUUGUGAAGCUCUUUUGUGCGGGAAGAUAAUGACGGUACCGCAAGAAUAAGCCCCGGCUAACUUCGUGCCAGCAGCCGCGGUAAUACGAAGGGGGCUAGCGUUGCUCGGAAUCACUGGGCGUAAAGGGUGCGUAGGCGGGUUUCUAAGUCAGAGGUGAAAGCCUGGAGCUCAACUCCAGAACUGCCUUUGAUACUGGAAGUCUUGAGUUCGGGAGAGGUGAGUGGAACUGCGAGUGUAGAGGUGAAAUUCGUAGAUAUUCGCAAGAACACCAGUGGCGAAGGCGGCUCACUGGCCCGAUACUGACGCUGAGGCACGAAAGCGUGGGGUGCAAACA
rnacentral:rRNA from 1 species